rnacentral:misc_RNA from 1 species
GUUAUUCUGAGGCAAUUCCUAUAGCAUAUUUUCUCUUCUUCAGAUUUAUCGUUUAUCAUUGAUCUAAAUGUAUUUUCAUCAAAGCUCUCUCACAUGGCUGUUUCAUGCAUUAUAAAAGAAAUUUAUACAGCUCUUAUGCUAAGGCCAUCUUUUGUGGUACCAACUUGUUUCUGCCUGUUUAUGCGGGUGAAGAACUGUAUUGAGGUUGCAAUGAUUAUUAUGCAUACUAUUGCAAAGCUCUUAUUCUUCGUUUUUCUUUAUCUGUUUGCUCUUGUUGUAUAUCCGUAACUUGUUUUCUCAUUACAAUUGCAAUUGCAUGAAUGGAAAUGACUGUGUUAUAUGGUGUUCCUUUUUCUUUUCAGUUUAUGUUUCUUUCUUGGAUCUAUUUUGAUGAUUGGAAUUCAGUGUUAAUAUAUGGUGGUAGACUUGUGUGCUCAAGGGCAUUCCUCCCCUUGUUAUGGCUUGAGAAAUGGGGAUGGGCCUUUGACCAGUGUCUCUUUCAUGUUUCAUUUAUCUUUACAUUUUUGUAUUUUGGAUUUGCUAUGCAACAUUGCCACAUGCACUCAAAUAUCUACUAAUCAAUGUUAGUUUGACCAUUAUUUACUUACUGAAAUUUUCUAGUUUAGGUUUUCAAUUAUGAAUCAGAUUUAAAUACUUAGAACUAGCUGAAACAUGAUUUUCUGGGGCAUACAUAUAUUGUUGUCAAAAUGAUCACCUUUCUAAAACUUCAUCACCUUCUGUUUUUCCUUUCCAAAUCAGUCAAUUGGAAUUCCCAAAUUUAUUGUUCUGUUUUUAAGACAAAAAUACUGUGCAAUAUUGGAAGAAAAAAAUUGAAGACCACAUCGUUGAAAUAAGUAAAUGCACAAAUAGUUAUAAACUAAAUUAAAAAAAAAAAAUGGUGAAAUUCAAGGAAUUUGUAUGUCAUGUUUAGUAAUGGGCCUGCCUAACAUUUCUGAAUGCUCCCAUUUCUGUUGACAAAAGAGAGGGCUCUUUGCAGCAAAUCAUAAUUUCCAUUUUAAUGGUUGAUUCUGGUUUAAAUGGUCCAUAUUUCAUUAGUGAAUUGGGCAUUAUGUUUAUCUCCUCCUGUCUCUCCUCUUCUAAUUAAUGUAGAGAUCAUAUGGUUUUUACAUUUAUUUGGAUUUAUUAUUACUGGUUUCAUUUGUCAACUUUGUUACUUGAUGUCUUAAUUGUCACAGAGAAGACCAUGGACACCAUGA